UACAGAGGUCCCAAGCGUUGUUCGGAUUCAUUGGGCGUAAAGGGUGCGUAGGUGGCGCUGUAAGUCGGGUGUGAAAUUUCGGAGCUUAACUCCGAAACUGCAUUCGAUACUGCGGUGCUCGAGGACUGGAGAGGAGACUGGAAUUCAUGGUGUAGCAGUGAAAUGCGUAGAUAUCGUGAGGAAGACCAGUUGCGAAGGCGGAUCUCUGGGCAGUUCCUGACACUGAGGCACGAAGGCCAGGGGAGCAAACGGG
rnacentral:rRNA from 1 species